GAGGGUAUAGCUCAGUGUUAGAGUACAUGCUUAGCAUGCACGAAGUUCUGGGUUCAAUCCCCAGUACCUCUG
rnacentral:tRNA from 1 species